UACCAGCACCCCGAGUGUUCGGGACGAUUAUUGGGCCUAAAGCAUCCGUAGCCGGCCUUGUAAGUCCUCCGUUAAAUCCAGCUGCUUAACAGAUGGGCUGCGGAGGAUACUAUAAGACUAGGAGGCAGGAGAGGCAAGCGGUACUCAGUGGGUAGGGGUAAAAUCCGUUGAUCCAUUGAAGACCACCAGUGGCGAAGGCGGCUUGCCAGAAUGCGCUCGACGGUGAGGGAUGAAAGCUGGGGGAGCAAACCGG
rnacentral:rRNA from 1 species